GUAAACGAUGUCGACUUGGAGGUUGUGCCCUUGAGGUGUGGCUUCCGGAGCUAACGCGUUAAGUCGACCGCCUGGGGAGUACGGCCGCAAGGUUAAAACUCAAAUGAAUUGACGGGGGCCCGCACAAGCGGUGGAGCAUGUGGUUUAAUUCGAUGCAACGCGAAGAACCUUACCUGGUCUUGACAUCCACGGAAGUUUUCAGAGAUGAGAAUGUGCCUUCGGGAACCGUGAGACAGGUGCUGCAUGGCUGUCGUCAGCUCGUGUUGUGAAAUGUUGGGUUAAGUCCCGCAACGAGCGCAACCCUUAUCCUUUGUUGCCAGCGGUCCGGCCGGGAACUCAAAGGAGACUGCCAGUGAUAAACUGGAGGAAGGUGGGGAUGACGUCAAGUCAUCAUGGCCCUUACGACCAGGGCUACACACGUGCUACAAUGGCGCAUACAAAGAGAAGCGACCUCGCGAGAGCAAGCGGACCUCAUAAAGUGCGUCGUAGUCCGGAUUGGAGUCUGCAACUCGACUCCAUGAAGUCGGAAUCGCUAGUAAUCGUGGAUCAGAAUGCCACGGUGAAUACGUUCCCGGGCCUUGUACACACCGCCCGUCACACCAUGGGAGUGGGUUGCAAAA
rnacentral:rRNA from 1 species